rnacentral:hammerhead_ribozyme from 1 species
AUCUCGCCGACUAGUCCCAAAUAGGACGAAACACGCGUCAAACUAGAU